rnacentral:rRNA from 2 species
CAAAUGACUCUCGACAACGGAUAUCCCGGCUCUCGCAUCGAUGAAGAACGUAGCGAAAUGCGAUACUUGGUGUGAAUUGCAGAAUCCCGUGAACCAUCGAGUCUUUGAACGCAAGUUGCGCCCGAAGCCAUUAGGCCGAGGGCACGUCUGCCUGGGUGUCACG